rnacentral:rRNA from 1 species
AUUGAACGCUGGCGGCAGGCCUAACACAUGCAAGUCGAGCGAGCGGCGGACGGGUGAGUAAUGUCUGGGGAACUGCCCGAUAGAGGGGGAUAACUACUGGAAACGGUAGCUAAUACCGCAUACCAUCAGAUGUGCCCAUAUGGGAUUAGCUAGUAGGUGGGGUAACGGCUCACCUAGGCGACGAUCCCUAGCUGGUCUGAGAGGAUGACCAGCCACAAUGGAACUGAGACACGGGCCAGACGCCUACGGGAGGGAGGAGUGGGGAAUAUUGGACAAUGGGGGCAAGGCUGAUGCAGCCCUGCCGCGGUUGUGAAGAAGGCCUUCGGGUUGUAAAGCACUUUCAGCGGGGAGGCGUUACCCGAAGAAGAAGCACCGGCUAACUCCGUGCCAGCAGCCGCGGGAAUAC